rnacentral:misc_RNA from 1 species
GAUGAAGAACGUAGCGAAAUGCGAUAAGUAAUGUGAAUUGCAGAAUUCAGUGAAUCAUCGAAUCUUUGAACGCACAUUGCGCCCCUUGGUAUUCCGAGGGGCAUGCCUGUUCGAGCGUCAUUUUGACCACUCCCGCUUGCGGGGUCUUGGGCCUUCGCCUCUGGGCGGGCCUUAAAAUCAGUGGCGGUGCCGUCCGGCUCUAAGCGUAGUACAUCUCUCGCUCUGGAAACUUGGCGGUGCCUGCCAGACAACCCCUAAUUGUCUCUUUCGGUUGACCUCGGAUCAGGUAGGGAUACCCGCUGAACUUAAGCAUAUCAAUAAGCGGAGGA